rnacentral:misc_RNA from 1 species
GAUGAAGAACGCAGCGAAAUGCGAUAAGUAAUGUGAAUUGCAGAAUUCAGUGAAUCAUCGAAUCUUUGAACGCACAUUGCGCCCGUCAGUAUUCUGGCGGGCAUGCCUGUUCGAGCGUCAUUACGCCCCUCAAGUCCCCUGUGGACUUGGUGUUGGGGAUCGGCGAGGCUGGUUUUCCAGCACAGCCGUCCCUUAAAUUAAUUGGCGGUCUCGCCGUGGCCCUCCUCUGCGCAGUAGUAAAACACUCGCAACAGGAGCCCGGCGCGGUCCACUGCCGUAAAACCCCCCAACUUUUUAUAGUUGACCUCAAAUCAGGUAGGACUACCCGCUGAACUUAAGCAUAUCAAUAAGCGGAGGA